UGUCCCUCUGGCGGCACGCGGGCACACCAGUAACACCUGUGGCGGGGAAGUGCAGGUGAAGGUGUCAUAUUUUAGCCAUUUUCAGCCCUUUACCCUCGCUGCCGCGCCUCCGCCGGGCCGCUGCAGGAGGAGCAAGGACAGGGCACCUUCAGGAUGUGGGUAGGAUCUGCAGGACGGCUGGGAAGGAUGUGUAAAGUGUGGGGGAGGUCCUGCCGCCACCACCACCACUACCUGGACAGCUGAUUGACAGAUGCUGAGUGACCCGACAGCACUGGAGGUCAUGAAGGAAAGGCCAGGUCAUGUCAUGCUGUGGCUAAUAUGCUGAGGAUGCAAGAAUGACAGAAGGUUACAGAGAGGCCAGCUAGGCAUCUUCCAAGUGGCUGCUCCUGAGAAAUCUCCGGCUGGUGAGGGAAUGUUCCAGUGAGGCAAGAGGAGUCAGGCACGGUGGAGGAGGUGAAGCACAGCAGGGAGGAACAAGAUGAGGAGCAAGAGGGGCCAUCAGAAUCAUCCACUGCCGAAGUGACGAUGGCUGGCUGUCUUCCGCCAUCC